UGAAAGAAAAAGAUGUUGAACUUCAAAAGU
rnacentral:piRNA from 1 species